rnacentral:rRNA from 1 species
UACAGAGGUCUCAAGCGUUGUUCGGAUUCACUGGGCGUAAAGGGUGCGUAGGCGGGUCUUUAAGUCAGGGGUGAAAUCCUGGAGCUCAACUCCAGAACUGCCUUUGAUACUGAGGAUCUUGAGUUCGGGAGAGGUGAGUGGAACUGCGAGCGUAGAGGUGAAAUUCGUAGAUAUUCGCAAGAACACCAGUGGCGAAGGCGGCUCACUGGCCCGAUACUGACGCUGAGGCACGAAAGCGUGGGGAGCAAACAGG